AAGAAUUGUAACGCCCUCACCAUAAGUAGUCCGUACAUUUUACUGUUCCGACAACUAAUGCCUGUUCGAACAGUUAAAAUGUCUGGAACUACACCUAGACUAUAGUGAGGAGGCAUAAAUUGAAGAAAUAAAUGUUAAGAAAAUAUAGGAAAAAUUUAGAGAUUUUAUUAAUUGGUAUAAAAUAAUAAAAAUAACCCGAUGAGUACCAUGAUGGGCAUUUUGGUCAUUUCACCUCUAGAGGUGAAUUUUGACCUAAAUGUCAAAUUAAAAAUUAGGAAAUAAAAUAAUUAACAUAAAUUAAAUUUAUGAAUUUGAAUUUGAAAAAUGAGAAGAGAAAGAAGAAGAAAAGAAAGAGAGAAGAAGGAGACAGUGAAGACAAGGGUUUAGUGGAGGAUGAAGCAGUGAAGGAGGCAAAGAAGGCAAAGAAGAAGAAAAAGAAACAGAAGAAGAAAAAAUCCAAGAGUGUGGAGGAGAAGCUAGGUGUUGAGGCAGAAGAAGUAGCAGAGCCAACAGAAGGGAUCCGUGAAAGUCAAAUGAAUGAGGAUGUUGCUACAAAAGUUUAUGUUGGAGGCAUUCCAUAUUACUCAACUGAGGAUGACAUUCGAAGUUACUUUGAGGGCUGUGGCACUAUAACUGGCAUUGAUUGUAUGAAGUUUCCUGACAGUGGGAAGUUUAGAGGAAUCGCCAUAAUUAGUUUUAAGACUGAAGCUGCAGCUAAGCGGGCCUUGGCUCUUGAUGGAUCUGACAUGGGUGGAUUUUAUCUGAAAAUUCAACAGUAUAAGACAACUCGAGCCAACAGAGUGCCUGAUUUUGCACCAAAAAUUGUUGAGGGUUACAAUAGGAUCUACAUUGGAAAUUUGUCAUGGGAUAUAACUGAGGAUGACCUGAAGAAAUUUUUCUCUGAUUGCAAUAUAUCAUCUAUACGUUGGGGUACAGACAAAGAAACAGGGGAAUUCCGAGGUUAUGCCCAUGUGGAUUUUUCUGACAAUCUCUCAUUGUUGAUGGCACUAAAGUUGGAUCAGCAGAUUGUAUGUGGACGAGCCAUCAAAAUAAGUUGUGCAGUUCCUAUGAAAGGAGCAAAAAUACGUACAACUUCUUCUACACCCAUAACCACAGACAAUGAAGCUGAUAGUAUUGUAUGUGCUAGCAGUGCUACAUCCACAGCCCAAAAUAAUGAAGCUGAAAAUGAUGGGUUGAGUGCAAGCAGUGGUAAGAUGAGGAGGAGGACAUGCUAUGAGUGUCAGGAGAAAGGUCAUAUUUCUUCAAAUUGCCCAAAGAAGCAAGCUGCUGAAAUAAAUUCCAAUGCAAGAUAAACAUUUGAGAACAUUCAACUGUGUCACCUUAAGAUUUUAUGCAGUCCCUAAUUCCCUGUUGAUAUUCAAUUGGUUUUUUCCAUCUAUAUGCAGUUGCUGUUACAAUUUUGUAUUCUGAGUUUUUAUGUGUUAAAUCAGUUUAGUUCACAUAUUUGUCUAAAUGAUCCUUCUUUAAUUUUUUUUAAGGAUCUUGUUUUGUAAUUUUCCUUUCUAGUAACCACGGUUGUUUAUUUCCUUAGCUUAUCAUCUUGGAAAACUGCAGCAUGAAGAUGUCAGAUGGAGACUGGUGCUAUUUUUUCUCUUUUUCAAUUCCUUGCACAAUUUUUGAAAUGGUUUGAAUUUGAUGUUAGCCAAAUUUUGCUAGGGCCUAGAGAAUCCUGAAACCCAAUAGCAGAAAGCAUCAGUAAGUGUGAUUUGGUCAAAGACAGGAGAAUUUCUUUGUAAUUCUGCUUAAAGCAAUAAGGAAGGUGUGCAAGGUUUCUCAUGUCAACUCUAAAAAUUGGCUUCUCUUGUUCCAUCCAUCAAGUUGAGAACUAUAAUGCGUAUUUCCAAAGGUUAUGGCUAAAUUCAGGUCAAGCAGAAAUGUUGAUUUGCAGCAUCCUCUUCUGAGAAAUCUAGACUGCAACAACACUUACCAACUACGCAAGGUGAAGAAAUAAAUACAAAAAACUGGAUAUCAAACAGAUUAUCUUAAUCAUUACUUGGAUGAAGAGGAGACAUGUAUACUAAAGCAUAUGAUAUAUGAUAAGAUUACCUACCUUUUCAAUGCUUAUAGGUCAUAGCUCCCGCUUGGAGCUAGCAACUUUGGCAGUUUCCUGAUUUGCAAAUAGGAAGUUUGAAAAUUAGGAAGCUGCCAAAUUGGUUUCCCUCAUUUGGGUUUCAUGGUUUCAUGGGGUUGGUCUUUGUACAGUAAUUCAC
rnacentral:misc_RNA from 1 species